AUUAGGUUCCAUCCUCAGCUUUAACGUCUUCUUCCAAAGGCUCUCAUCGAUUAGUACCGUCAACCUGUACAUAUUAUACUAUUUUGUUUACUAUUUUGUGCCCUCAUUGGCUACUAUUUUGUUCUUAUUUUUUUGCAUAGGUGAAAUGUGAAGCCAAGCGUGAAGUUGUGAAGCCUAUAUGCAAAGAGUAGCAUAUCAUGUAUUGUGAUAGUAGGCUGUAGUAGGCAUAUUUGAAUUGUAGUAGUGUAAAGAUUGAAUUCGUAUGUGAUUUGUAUACCUAUGAAAUGGAAACCUCACAAAUUGUUUGACAAAUUACAAAAUUUAUGAUGUCGAUACGAGUUAUGAGAUCAACAUGACAUGUGGGACCAAUGUGACUAGUGGGACCAGUACAAAAAUAAA
rnacentral:lncRNA from 1 species